GUGUUUGCCUAGCAACGUUCUGGUCCCCCAUUCCGAGCGAGGCUAUUUGGUAUUGCGUCACCACUUCCCUUUCCCCUACUGCUCUGUGACCUACCGUGUGGACACGUGAAAAGUGGUGGUGGUGGCGGUGGUGGUGGUGGUGGGGAAGGAGCGCCAGCUCGCACUGCAGUGUUGGCAGCUGCUUCAUUUUGACCUAUAGUUAGGCUCCGUUCGCGGCGCCCGGGGGAGGGGCUGGGGCUGGGAGGUGAGGGACAGACACAGAUCAAGUUCACUUUCCUUUCUCUCCUUGCACUUCCAGUUUCAGAGACUGGAGGCAGAUCUCUCAGCUGUACUAGGGACCUGCACUUCAGCUAGUGUUUCAAGGACAUCAGAACUAAUCUUAAGACUGUCCAGCCCCAGCGGCACCCCUGGGACUGAGACUAAAUAGGGUGAUGCUUCUUCAAGGAAAUACAGAACAUAUAGAAAGAGUGGAGAAAAGAAAAUAAAAGUCUCCAGCUUCCAAGGGAAUUCUUUUUUACCGUUUGGUCCACAUCCAUUCCAGUCAGCCUCUUCCACACACGUGCGCUUCUCCCUUUCUCUUUCUCUUCAGUAGGCAGCCUGAGGUUCAUCUCACUCUACAUCCCUUCUCUCAUUUAGCAUUAUAUCAUGGCAUAUUUCUGUAUACGGGAAUGUGUGCAAUAGAAUUUUUAUGUAUAAGUUUUCCUGCAAUAUUGCACAUAGAAAAUGCAUGAGUUUUGAGUGUGUAGCUUGAUGAAUGAGCACACCCAUGCAACUAGCAGAAGGUACAGGUACCCCAGAAACUGAACAUUAAACCUCCCUCAGACCACCUCCAGGCACUAAAAGCCUCCCUCAUUCCUCUUUCCAGACACUAUGCUCCAUUUGAAAUGUUACCACUAUCCUAAUUUCUUUUUUUUUAAAUCUUUAUUUAUUUAUUUAUUUGAAAGUCAGAGUUACACAAGAAAAGGAGAGGCAGAGACAGAGAGAGAGAGAGGUCUUCCAUCCUGAUGGUUCACUCCCCAAUUGGCCACAGUGGCCAGAGCUGCGCCGAUCUGAAGCCAGGAGCCAGGAGCUUCCUCCAGGUCUCCCAUGUGGGUUGAGGGGCUCAAGGAUUUGGUCCAUCUUCCAGUGCUUUCCCAGGCCAUAGCAGAGAGCUGGAUCAGAAGUGGAGCAGCCAAGCCUCGAACCGGCACCCAUAUGGGAUGCCGGCGCUCCAGACCAGGGUGUUAACCCACUGCGCCACAGCGCCAGCCCCACCAUUAUCCUAGUUUCUAAAGCAAGAUCUGCCCUCCCAUCCCACUGUUCUGAACUUUAUUAGAUGGAGUCGUAUAGUACCCAGCUUCUCCCAUCAUUAUGGUUAUGAGACUCAGUUUUUGUGUAUGGCUGUAGUUUGUUCAUUCUCAUUUUUGUAUUCUACUGUAUGAAUACACCACAAUUUAUGUAACAUUUUGUUUUAAAAAUUUAUUUAUUUAUAUGUUUGAAAGGUGGUGGGGGGGAGAGAAAGAAAUAGUCCAUUUGCUGUUUCACUCCCCAAAUAGCUAGGACUAGGCCAGGAUGAAGGCACAAGUCAGGAACUCCAGCUGAUCUCCCAUACGGUGGCAAGAACUCAAUCGCUUCAGCUAUCAUUUGUUGCUUCCCAGGCGCGUUAGCAAGAAGCUGAAUCAGAAGUGGAGUAGCCGGGCCUCAAACUAGUACUGGGAUAUGAGAUGCAGCUCUCUGCUAUGGCCUGGGAAAGCAAUGGAAGAUGGCCCAAGCGCUUGGGCUCCUGCACCUGCCUGAGAGGUCUGGAGGAAGCUCCUGGCUCCUGGUUCGGAUCAGCCCAGCUCCAGCCGUUGCAUUCAUUUGGGGAUUGAACCAGCAGUUGGAAGACCUUUCUCUCUGUCUGUACUUGUGUCUGUAACUCUACCUUUCAAAUAAAUAAAUUAAAAAAAAAGAAAAAAAGAAAUGUUGGCUUUAGAAACCUGCUUUGCCCUAAGGUCACCAGUUUAGCCUAACCUCUGGUCACCCCUCCCAAGACACUAGCCUGAUGAUUUUGGUGCUUUUCUCUGCCUUAUACCCCUGGACUGAUUUCUAUGUGGAAAGAACUUGAGUUACCUUUACAUUCUUUUUUUUUUUUCUUAAAGAUUUAUUUAUUUAUUUGAAAAGCAGAAAGAGACAGAGAGAAGAGAGAGAGAGAGAGAUCUUCCAUCUGCUGGUUCACUCCUCAAAUGGCUGUAAUGGCUUGGGUUGGGCCAGGCCAAAGUCAGGAGCCUAGAACUCCAUCCUGGUCUCCCGCAUGGGUAUCAGGGGCCCAAGCACUUGGGCCAUCUUCUGCUGCUUUUCCAGGCACAGUAGCCAGGAGCUGGAUUGGAAGUGGAGCAGCUGGGACUGGCAUUCCACAGGCUGCCAGUGUUGCAGAUGGUGGCCCCACCUUUCCAUUCUUGAGCUUGAUCCCAACAACAGUCCCUGCCUUCCUUCAACAGAUUUUUAUGAGCUCUCCCACUCCGCGCAGCACUGAUUAGGCGUGCCCUUGGUGUUCCAGGUGCUGCUGGCUCCUCAUCAGUGUUCUGCUGUGCUUACACCACUUUGUCCAGCGCUGUCCUUCUCCCUCCACCCUCCACCCUUCACUCUUCAGCACAUUCCACCACUUUAUUACCUUCAUGGCACUUGACACUAUCUGGAAAUACUCAUUUCUGCAUUUAUCUGUUUGUUACUUGUCUGCUUUACCCACUGGACAGUAACUCUGAGACAUCAGUCUUUGUCUCUCUUGUUCUUUCUUUCGUAGUUCCAACGGUGCUCAGCACACAGAAGAUCCUUCAUAAGGCCCAGCCUCUGUGGUCAGGAAAUUUUUAAUGUAGAGGGAAAUAGAGAUAAACAUAGGAUCCUAUAUAUUACCGGCUGUGCUUGAGGCAAACCUAGGAUGCUCUCUGUUCUCGUGUGUACGCAGAGAAUGGCGGGGUGGGCAGUGGAUGUCAAAGAAGACUUCCUGCAGGCAACCUGUGAACCCAACCUUGAAGGCCAAGUAGGACAGCGUUCUGGACAAGGAACCAGUCCAGGCAAAGGGCUGAUGGAGAGGCAGGUGAUUUAGACAAAUUCAAGUGCUUCAGGAAAGAUAGUUGGCAGAGUGCAGGAACUGAGGCUGGCAAGGCAGUCCUGGAAGGUUGUCCUGAGGAGGUGGGACUAUUCUGAAUUUGAUGGGGAACAGUCAAAUGGGAGAUUGUGAUCAUGGUCAAAUUAGUAUAGGAGAGAAUGAGGAGGUCAGCUCAAAGCCUUUGAGAACAAACAGACUUGGUGCUUAAGAGGCCCCCUUCCUCGCACACACUUUCCUCUUCCUCUCCUUUGCUCCUGACUGUUGCUUUGCUGGAAAGCACCUUUUUGUCCAUCUCUGUGUGCCCUAAAGUUACUUAUUGCUUAAGGACCAGCUUGAAUGAAUGACUGGUACCGUGGGCUGAAGCCCACCAACUGUACAAGCCUGGAUAUAUUUUGGGGCUGGGAGAUACACAAGAUGAGAGAAUCCUGAUGUGGGUACAUUCGUUCCAGGCAUCUGGGGCUUCACAGAUGCAAAUGCAAUUCUUUGUUGUUCCCUACAUGCCAGACACUGGGUGAAAUGCUGGGUUUACAAGGAUUAUGUCUCUAACCCUUACAACUGCAGUCAUGUGUCACUUAACUACAGUGAUAGUUCUGAGGUGCAUUGGCAGGCAAUUUUGUUGAGCAAACAACAUAGCAUGUACUUGCACAAACCUCCAUGGGCUAGGUCAGUCACUCAGUGUGGCCCCCUGAUGCAAUCAAAGCACUUGGUAAACACAAGACAUACAAGGCUGGCAUAAAAUGCCAUACUGCUUUACAGUACACUUAAAAAAUAUUUAUUUGAAAGGCAGAAUGAGAGAGAGAGAGAGAGAAGGAGUGGGGGGGAAGGGGGAGAGGAGGAGAGAUCCUCACUUGAUGGUUCACUCCCCAGAUGCCUACAACAGUCAGGGCUGAGCCAGGCUCAAGUCAGGAGCUGGAAGUCCUUCCGGCUCUCUCACAGAGUGGCUGUGGUCCAAGUAAUUGGGCCAUCUUCUGCUGCUUUCCUAGACACAUUAGCAGGGAGCUGGAUUGGAAACAGAGCAGCUGAGACUCAAACCAGUGCUUGGAUAUGGGAUGCUCGUGUUACAAGUGGUGAUUUAACCCAUUGCUGCACAACACCAGCCACUAACAGUAAAGUUUUUCUUAGAAGUACAUGGGAUACAGUCUAAAAUAACCAUUAAAAGUAUAGCGUAGAACAUUUACAACAGUAACAUAGUCAUUUAUUACCAAUAUUAUGUCCUGCACAUAGUUGUAUGUGCUUUACUUUCACAUGACUGGCAGCACACUGCUUACGCCAGCAUCACCACAAACAUGUGAAGAAUGUGUAAUACUAGGAUGUCACAACAGCUACAAUGUAGGGCCAGGUGUGGCGUGGUAAGUUAAGCUGCUGCCUUCAACAACUAUAAUUCCAUACUGGAGUGCCAGUUUGAGUCCCUGCCACUCUCCUUCUAAUCCAGCCCCUGCUAAUGCAUCUGGGAUCCAGCAGAUGAUGGCUCAAGUCCUCAAAUCCCUGCUCCCCACAGGGGAGAACUGGACAAAUUUCCUUGCUCCUGGCUUUGGCCUAGCCCAGCCCUGGCUGUUGCAGCCAUUUGGGUAGUGAACCAGUAGAUUAAGUUCUCUCUCUCCCUCCCUCCCUUCCUUUCUCUCUCCAUUCUGUCAUUGCCUUUCAAAUAAAUAAGUAGACCCAUCUUAAAAAAUAAAAUGCAGCUACAGUGUCACUGGGCAACAGGAUUUUUCAUUGGUACACUGCUGAAACUUUAUGUAGCACAUGAAAUGCCUAUAUACUAGGCAUUGUUAUUAGCUUUAUGUUAUGAAUUAACCAACUAAUGCACAGUUCUGUAAAUAAGUUGUUGAAAGUCAUUCUACCAUUAGUAAAGAUUAGGAUUGGAAUCUUAGAAGAUUGGCAUUAGACCCAUAAUAGCAGCACUAUCUUGUAAAUAGCAUUUGACUGAAAGUCAAUACAGCUGGAUUCUAGUUAAUAAUUAAUAGCAAUCAUAUAUCCAGCUCAACAACCCAGCAAGAUAGGUGUUAUCACCUCCAGUUUAAUAGGUAAGGUUACUGUGCACUAGAGGGUUUACAUGAAUUGUACCAGGCUGCACAACUUGGGUUUAGACCCAGGUUUGGUAGACUCCAAAGUCAAAGAUUUUAGCACUUGGAAAUGCUCCUCCUGGCAGUUCAGGACUUACUUUUUUAGAAUGGCCUGUGACCUUAGACUCUGAGGUCCCAGCUUUGUCAACUGGAAACUGAUAGAAUUGGACUGGCUGGCAUCUGGGCUCCCUCCUGCUCCACGAUCUAGGAUCCGACAGCCUCUGAGAGGCCUUGUCAACUUCCCCCUGGCGUUCAUCUUCAGUACUUUUGGGUUGGGUUCCCACCUUCAAACGAUGAGAGACAGAAGAAUAAAAUUCAUGACAUGACUAGGCAGCCUGAGAAACAAGCAUAGAGCUGAGGGCAGAGGCCUGGCUCUUAGCCAACUGGAAACUAAAAAAGUCCAUGAGAUGAUGACAAACUCAGAGCCAAGCUCCUUAGAGUGAAAUUACUAGACAAGAAAACUGGGGAAACGACCACACAGUUCUGAGGCUGCUCAGAGACCCCUGAGAACCAGGAGGGAACAGCAAAGGUACGUUAGCACAAGUGCACGUGGCAGGCAUGGUGUAGAGAGAGGGCUGAAAAUGGAAUUCAAUGCAGAAAAACCAGGGCUUAGUAAACAGUCUAGAGAGACAACAUCGUGUUGAGAAUAAAGGCAGAAACAGGCAGGUCCAUUGGGUGACACCUGACCGAGGCAGUUUGUCUAAGAUGGGAAAGAUCACAUGCCAUUUGGGGACAUUUCCUGGGAAAUGUGUUGGCAGAAAACUUGAACUUCAGCAGACAAAUUGCUGGGAGAGCUGUCAGUGGGGAAAGAUGCUGGUUGUGUUUAUAUUGCUAAUUAUAUCACAUGCAUUUGGGGCUUUGAAGGGUGCAAUUAGUAAUUGCCUUUUUAGGGUUUUCAUAUCAGGGCAACAAAAGUAUAAAG